GCCCCUCGUGGCCUAAUGGAUAAGGCAUCGGUCUCCCCAACCGGGGAUUGUGGUUCGAGUCCAUAUCUUGCCGAGGGUA